ensembl:lncRNA
AAGACACUGUACUAUACUAUGGAAACAAUAGAAACCUCUCCCUGGUGGACCAGCGGAGGAGGGUGGAGUGAGGCAGAGGAAUAGGAGCAGAGACGAUCCGGGGGACGGCCAAACCCCCACCAAGAGGUUGAGGACCAGCUACGGGAAACAACCUCCCCAUGUGGAGGCUGUGGGGAAGGCAGAGGACAGUGGUCCCAGCUCCUCUGCAGGUGUUGAGCGCUCCGACCACAGCUCUGCCUGUAUCACCUCCUCCAGCAAGACCUGCAUGAUGACCUACAGCACAGGUCAGACUGAUGGACGGUUAGAUAUGAAGGGAUGAAUGAAAGGAUGGAUAGAUAGAUAGAC